rnacentral:rRNA from 1 species
CCUACGGGUGGCAGCAGUGAGGAAUAUUGGUCAAUGGACGCAAGUCUGAACCAGCCAUGCCGCGUGCAGGAUGACGGCUCUAUGAGUUGUAAACUGCUUUUGUACGAGGGUAAACCCCGAUACGUGUAUCGGGUUGAAAGUAUCGUACGAAUAAGGAUCGGCUAACUCCGUGCCAGCAGCCGCGGUAAUACGGAGGAUCCGAGCGUUAUCCGGAUUUAUUGGGUUUAAAGGGUGCGUAGGCGGUUUGAUAAGUUAGAUGUGAAAGGUCGCGGCUCAACCCCGAAACUGCAUUUGAUACUGGUAGACUAGAGUAUAGUUGAGGUAGGCGGAAUGUAUGGUGUAGCGGUGAAAUGCUUAGAUAUCAUACAGAACACCGAUUGCGAAGGCAGCUUACUAAACUAUAUCUGACGUUGAGGCACGAAAGCGUGGGUAGCAAACAGGAUUAGAUACCCCUGUAGUC